rnacentral:rRNA from 1 species
CAGUAGCCGCGGUAAUACGAAGGGGGCUAGCGUUGCACGGAAUUACUGGGCGUAAAGGGAGCGUAGGCGGACAUUUAAGUCAGGGGUGAAGUCCCAGAGCUCAACUCUGGAACUGCCUUUGAUACUGGGUGUCUUGAGUGUGAUAGAGGUAUGUGGAACUCCGAGUGUAGAGGUGAAAUUCGUAGAUAUUCGGAAGAACACCAGUGGCGAAGGCGACAUACUGGAUCAUUACUGACGCUGAGGCUCGAAAGCGUGGGGAGCAAACAGGAUUAGAUACCCCGGUGUCCCUGUCUCUUAUACC